UGGGGAAUAUUGCACAAUGGGGGAAACCCUGAUGCAGCGACGCCGCGUGAGCGAAGAAGGCCUUCGGGUCGUAAAGCUCUUUUAUGAGGGAAGAUAAUGACGGUACCUCAAGAAAAAGCCCCGGCUAACUACGUGCCAGCAGCCGCGGUAAUACGUAGGGGGCUAGCGUUGUCCGGAAUCACUGGGCGUAAAGGGUUCGCAGGCGGAAUAACAAGUCAGAUGUGAAAGGCAUGGGCUCAACCCAUGUAAGCAUUUGAAACUGUAAUUCUUGAGAAGUGGAGAGGUAAGUGGAAUUCCUAGUGUAGCGGUGAAAUGCGUAGAUAUUAGGAGGAAUACCUGUGGCGAAGGCAACUUACUGGACACAAAUCUGACGCUGAGGAACGAAAGCGUGGGUAGCAAACAGG
rnacentral:rRNA from 1 species